UACGGGGGGGGCAAGCGUUGUUCGGAAUUACUGGGCGGAAAGGGUUCGUAGGUGGCCAACUAAGUCAGACGUGAAAUCCCUCGGCUUAACCGGGGAACUGCGUCUGAGACUGGAUGGCUUGAGUUUGGGAGAGGGAUGCGGAAUUCCAGGUGUAGCGGUGAAAUGCGUAGAUAUCUGGAGGAACACCGGUGGCGAAGGCGGCAUCCUGGACCAACACUGACACUGAGGAGCGAAAGCCAGGGGAGCAAACGGG
rnacentral:rRNA from 1 species